CCUACGGGUGGCUGCAGUCGAGGAUCUUCGGCAAUGAGCGCAAGCCUGACCGAGCGACGCCGCGUGUGCGAUUGAAGGCCUUCGGGUUGUAAAGCACUGUCGAGGGGGAGAAAAGCCCGCAAGGGUGUGAUCUAUCCCUGGAGGAAGCACGGGCUAAGUUCGUGCCAGCAGCCGCGGUAAGACGAACCGUGCGAACGUUGUUCGGAAUCACUGGGCUUAAAGGGCGCGUAGGCGGGCUGCCGCGUCCGGGGUGAAAUCCCACGGCUCAACCGUGGAACGGCCUCGGAUACGGGCGGUCUCGAGGGAGGUAGGGGCACGCGGAACUGUGGGUGGAGCGGUGAAAUGCGUUGAUAUCCACAGGAACUCCGGUGGCGAAGGCGGCGUGCUGGACCUCAUCUGACGCUGAGGCGCGAAAGCCAGGGGAGCAAACGGGAUUAGAUACCCCGGUAGUC
rnacentral:rRNA from 1 species